CGAUGGCGCAGGCGGGGCUCCCCGCAGUCCCCGCCUAGGAAGUGGUUGCCCACAGGUCCGGACGGGAGCGCCCAGGGGCCGGAGAGCCGGCUAACCGCCAGAUCGGGUGUGGCAUCCCACCAGCAGGAGACCACCCUCCCUUAGCCUUGGUUUAGAGGUUCCGAAGGAUUAUUUGAACUCCUGUUCAAAAUGUCAGCUCUGUGGUUGAGGUUUCCGUUCCGGAGGGCACCCUGGUCUAGGCCUUGCCCAGCUGCAGGAAAGCAGGUUCCUAUGUUGACUAGUUGAGACAAAUAUAAAUAUGGCUUUCUACAGUUAUAAUACAGUCUUAGCUAUUGCCCGAACAAGAUUCCCUAGCCAUUUUGUCCAUCCCACCAGCUCUUCUUAUUCCCCGUCGUUUGCAUUUCUUCACUUGCCAGAUUCCCAAUUAAAUAAAACUUACAUGAAGUACUAUGGAAGCAAGAAGUACUCCUGUCCUAAUCAGUCAGGCAAUAAAGUACUUCACUUACAAACUAGAAUAAUACAAAAGCUACACACAUCAACUUGCUGGCUGCAAGACGUCCCUGGUAAACCUCAGCCGGAACAAACCCCAAAAAAGCCACAGGUGAUGAACCCCAAGCCCACGAAGGGAACUGGCAUGAAGAUUAAGGAAGAAAAGCGAUCUUACAGACAAAAAAUUAUGGAUGAACUUAAAUAUUAUUACAAUGGAUUCUAUUUGCUUUGGAUUGACACCAAAGUUGCUGCCAGGAUGGUUUGGAGGCUAUUGCAUGGACAGGUGCUGACCAGACGAGAGAGACGAAGGCUCUUGAGAACUUGUGCUGAUUUCUUCCGCCUGGUUCCAUUCAUGGUGUUCUUCAUGGUACCCUUCAUGGAGCUCUUAUUACCAGCAUUUCUGAAAUUCUUUCCAGAGAUGUUACCGUCAACUUUUGAAAGUGAAUCCAAAAAGGAAGAAAAACAGAAAAAGAAAAUGGCUGCAAAGUUGGAACUAGCAAAAUUUCUUCAAGAAACAAUUACAGAAAUGGCAAGGAGGAACAGGGCCAAGUUGGGAGACGCCUCUACACAGUUCUCAUCCUACGUCAAACAGGUCCAGACAGGCCACAAGCCCAGUACAAAGGAGAUAGUUCGCUUUUCCAAACUGUUUGAGGAUCAGCUAACCCUAGAGCACCUAGACCGACCUCAGCUGGUUGCCCUGUGCAAACUCCUAGAAUUGCAGCCCUUUGGAACCAACAAUUUGCUUCGCUUUCAACUUCUGAUGAAACUGAAGUCUAUAAAAGCAGAUGAUGAAAUAAUUGCCAAAGAAGGGGUGAGUGCUUUGAGCGUGUCAGAACUGCAGGCUGCCUGCAGGGCCCGAGGAAUGAGAUCCCUGGGUCUCACCGAGGAACAACUGAGACAGCAGCUCACAGAGUGGCAGGACCUCCACCUGAAGGAGAACGUCCCUCCUUCUCUGUUGCUCCUGUCCCGAACCUUCUACCUGAUAGAUGUGAAGCCAAAGCCAAUUGAGAUACCACUGAGUGGGGAGUCUCCAAAGAUGGCUAUUCCUGCGGAAGCAGCUACUUCUCCUGAAUCUAAAGAGAACCUGCUGGAUGUAGCGCCUCCACUGAAGGGAACUAAGGAUGAAGAAUUUAUACAACUGCCCCCAGUCACCUCGUCACUCAUGAUGCCACCCUCACCUCUUUCAUUGCCUAAAGGACCCAUCCCUUCUGCUAAAGAAGCUAAUUUGGGGCAAGAGCAGAAGCAUGACACAAAUCAGCGGUAGGGGGGCCAUUGGAGAGUUGGACGGUGGCUGUCUCCACUGGCACCAGAGAAGAGAGCCAGCGAACACGCAGAUGUCCGGGGGUGAACAUCCAGGGGCCUUGCUUGCAGGUGUUUUUAUUAUCAAGACACUGCAGGCCAAAUCACAGAAGACAGCCCAGAACAGCAAGGCUAGUUCAAAAGGGGCUUAAGGACUCCUGGAGGACGAAGCUCAUUCUCUCCAGCCCCCUGCCCUCCGCAGUGGCAUCCAUAAAGGACCACCUGGCUAAGACGAUCUGUCUGGUUUGAGCAGAGGAUCAGCCAUUUCGUCCGUGGGGCCUUGUAACCAUUCCAGAUGAUGUUAGCAGUGAGACCAAGUUCAGACCACUUAGAAAUAUAAUUGCAAAGCCAACUUCCUCUGCACCAUUAUGUCAUUUCCACUAGACUUUGCGUAAAGCCCCCUCCCCAUGUUAUUUUUGAACAGCUUCAUAUUUGUGUGCAUGUGCUCCACGGGAGGAAAUUUUUUUGCAUAAUGGAAUCAGCCUGGCACCUUAGAUAGCUCGCGUGAGAACCCGGAAACUCCAAAACCUUUGUAAGACCACCUGACCUUUCCAGUGACCCAUCAGUAUGAAUAGUGCCCUGGAAACAGAGUGCCUGACAAAAUGGAAUGGACGUACCCCCCGUUGAAGUCUUUCUGGACAUAAAGAAGAGAAAGCUCUUUGGAGAAGAAAAUGGGGAGUUAAACGGACUGGCAAUCAAAAAGGCUUGGCUGCUGCUUGGCUGUUGUGAGUCGUCCCCUCUGGGGCCUGCAGAGGCUCCAGGAAUCUGGGAGGCUGCCACCACUCCUGCACAUGUGGCUUUCAUUAGCCACCAUUUUGCCAGGAAACAUAAUUAAGGGUUUAAGGCUUAACCAUUUGUCUGUGCUGGGUGUAUGUUUUUCUAGUCUGUUUGUCUUUCACAAACAAGACUAUUUGUUAGUCAUAGGGGUUGUUAAAGUCUGAUAUAAUCCCUGUGCUACCCAGUAACGAGCAUUAUGUUCAGAUAUUUACGUUCGUUAGGUGUGUUCAGUAUUGUUAAUACUGAAAAAAAAAAAAACUUAAUAGAUUGCCAUGCAGCUGACCCAACAGCUUUCUUCCCUUGGGGAGUGCUUAGAAAAGAAAUGAUAUUUUGGCCGGUGGGUGAUGAAAUUAGUUUUCUUUGCUUGCUGUGAAAUUGAAAGCAGUUAGAUGGGAGUCAAUUAAACCGAGUAAAACGCAAAUCUCCCUCUCUGGGAUCACCUACAUGAGGACUGUCGUCAGCACUUCACAGCAAGGAUAUGUACCUUACAAUGCUUUUCAAGCCUCCUCUACACCAGAGGAAAAGCCCCACUCUGGCCUGCUAAAUGAAUCCUACCAUGCACAUUCCAUGGAUCUUGCUAUUGGCCUAGUAAGGUGAUUCACAAUAAACUUUCCCAUUUUUAAAAUGA